AUGGGGAGCGGCGGCGGCGCACGCUGGAAAAGGCGCGGAGCGGCUGCAGCGACGCGGGACGCACGGGCAGCAGCGGCUUCAGGACGCGCGUGCAGAAGCGUAGCAAGGCAGCGGCGGCGCGGACCGGGGAAACGGAAGGCGGAAGCAAGGGCUUGGCGCGCGGAGCGACUUGUAGCGGCACGCAGCGACGGGUGCAGCUGCAGCAAGAAGAUUGAUCUAUACGAUGGCUUGAUAGCACUCGAUGAGAUGCAACAGCGUAGGCACCCGCAUGCACCAACGGAUCAAGCGCGCGGCCAAGUGCUCUUUCGUUGCCACCACCGCCGCUGUCCGAGGGGAGACGUCGCCGCCGCCGAGGGGAGACGCCGCCACCCUGGGGAGACGCCACCGCCUCCCUUGGCGCCGUAUUCCCUCGACGCGUUCUUCCGGAAUGCCGCGGAGAAGAAGACCGCCGGGGCGCAGCAGGAGGAGCCCUCGCCGCCGGCCGCCGCGGACUCCCUCCUCGCCAAUCUGUUCGCGGGCGUCUCGGCCGUCAAGGCGGCCUACGCGCAGCUGAAGCUCGCGCAGUUCCCCUAUGAUGCGGAGGCCAUUCAGUCCGCGGACGCUGCCGUGGUCGCGGAGCUCACCAAGUUGUCCGAGACCAAGCGGAGGUUCCUCAAGGAUCCCGCAGGCGCGGCCAGGGACGCCGCGGCCGCGGGCAACACCGCCCUCUCCGCGCAUGCUGAGGAGCAGCGGCAUCUGCUCAAGACGUACCAGAUCACGGCGCGCAAGCUGGAGGCGGAGCUUCGUGCGAAGGAUGCGGAGCUCGACCGCGCCAAAGGAUCCCUCGAUGCGGAUAACAUAAGCUCUUCUUUUUUCUUUUAUGAAGGAGCGGAGUUACUCAUGCGGAGCUGUUCAGGGUUCAAGGAGAUACACCCGAUUGAACAAGAAGAAGCUCUCCGCGAGGGCAAGAUCAGGAGCAUGAUGGAGACAUUUUACUGGAAGGCUGUUGGCUUCCCCAGUUAUAAAUCCCAGUAUGCAAUCUUGCACACUAAUUCUUUGUGCUUCAAAUGGUCCACUGCUCACCUCCUCCUUUUAUUGGGUCCUUCGUUGAUGACUUUGGAUCAUCAUUUAUUCCGAAAUGAGCUGAAUAUGGUCGCCUCCCUCCGUUCCAUGAGGAAGUUAGUUCAAUGCGUUAAUCCCUGUUCCUUACAUGUGUGGUUUGCUUUGUUCUAUUCUUACAUUGAUGGAGACAAUAGAGGUUUGCGCGCGAGCUAUGGUACUACGCAGUGUAAGUACGACUUGUUUUGUAGACAUAAACCUUCUGCAACUUACUACUCGAGGACAAAGAUUGACCCAGUAUCAUGCCAACCAUUAGAUGAUCAAGAAGUUCAAGCUAUGCGUGGUGGUGGUUGGAGGGCAACUAGAGCAGCGGCUUGUGACGAGGCAUGGCUAGCGGCGGCUAGAGGCGGAGCUGGUCGUGCGGUUUAUGGCCGACAUGGGGCUUGUCGGAGCCGAGGCCGACCACGGCGUGACAAGGCGGCUGGGAUAGGCGAGACGAGGGAGAGGGAGCUGGUGGUGGCAUGGCUUGCCUCACCGGUGGCUGCGUGUGUUUGGAAUGCUCCGCGGACCGACAGGGGGCCUCAUUGGAUGACAAAAGUCGACAAAUAUGGUCAAGGGCGAGGCAGGGAGGCCAAGGGCGAAGUGUUGUCACCACAUCCACUUCCUAGGGCCGCAAGCGGCAAUGGUGAGGAGGUGAGUGACAACGGGAGGCUAAGGGUCUAUGCCAGUGAUGUGAUGCUUACAUGUUCUAUGAUGUUUUUCCAACACACCGUCCAUGGUUGCUUGACAGGAAACAGAGAAGUGGCCGGAUGGGCAAUCAACUUUUUUUUAGAAGAUGGAUGGGCAAUCAACUCAUCUGUUGAUUGGAUUGGGGGGUGGCAUGAACAAAGCAAGUUCUAUUUUCCCCCUCAUCCACCUCCAUCGCUCCGGCUUCUUCUCCUUCGCUCCAUGGCCAACCCCACCUUCUCCUCCGGCUUCUUCUCCUCCGCGUCCAUCACGGGAAUAUAUACUAUCUCUACUUCCUAA
rnacentral:rRNA from 1 species